GACGAACGCUGGCGGCGUGCUUAACACAUGCAAGUCGAACGGAAAGGCCCUGCUUUUGUGGGGUGCUCGAGUGGCGAACGGGUGAGUAACACGUGAGUAACCUGCCCUUGACUUUGGGAUAACUUCAGGAAACUGGGGCUAAUACCGGAUAGGAGCUCCUGCUGCAUGGUGGGGGUUGGAAAGUUUCGGCGGUUGGGGAUGUACUCGCGGCUUAUCAGCUUGUUGGUGGGGUAGUGGCUUACCAAGGCUUUGACGGGUAGCCGGCCUGAGAGCGUGAACGGCCACAUUGGGACUGAGAUACGGCCCAGACUCGUACGGGAGGCAGCAGUGGGGAAUAUUGCACAAUGGGCGGAAGCCUGAUGCAGCAACGCCGCGUGCGGGAUGACGGCCUUCGGGUUGUAAACCGCUUUCGCCUGUGACGAAGCGUGAGUGACGGUAAUGGGUAAAGAAGCACCGGCUAACUACGUG
rnacentral:rRNA from 1 species